rnacentral:rRNA from 1 species
AACCUCMCAUCCGUGUCUAUUGUACCCUGUUGCUUCGGCGGGCCCGCCGCUUGUCGGCCGCCGGGGGGGCGCCUCUGCCCCCCGGGCCCGUGCCCGCCGGAGACCCCAACACGAACACUGUCUGAAAGCGUGCAGUCUGAGUUGAUUGAAUGCAAUCAGUUAAAACUUUCAACAAUGGAUCUCUUGGUUCCGGCAUCGAUGAAGAACGCAGCGAAAUGCGAUAACUAAUGUGAAUUGCAGAAUUCAGUGAAUCAUCGAGUCUUUGAACGCACAUUGCGCCCCCUGGUAUUCCGGGGGGCAUGCCUGUCCGAGCGUCAUUGCUGCCCUCAAGCCCGGCUUGUGUGUUGGGUCGCCGUCCCCCUCUCCGGGGGGACGGGCCCGAAAGGCAGCGGCGGCACCGCGUCCGAUCCUCGAGCGUAUGGGGCUUUGUCACAUGCUCUGUAGGAUUGGCCGGCGCCUGCCGACGUUUUCCAACCAUUCUUUCCAGGUUGACCUCGGAUCAGGUAGGGAUACCCGCUGAACUUAAGCAUAUCAAUAAGCGGAGGAA